CCAGUGCAUGUGCUGACACCACGGUACACUGAGGGUCCUACACCGAACUGUUUUUAUAAUUAACAUUAUUGUAAACUGUUAUUAUUCAUACUGAACCUUGUUUCAUCGAAAUUUGUCCAGCGUAACACUACCGUGUAACUUAAGUGUAACCAAACGCAUCAAGAUCUGUGAAGAAAAUCUGCCUGCCUUAAUAUUUGUAAGACUUUUCAAUCAUCAACAACAUCUCACUAGGUACUCAAGAUAAUCAGUUUGCUGAGAAAUAUCAACCUUGUUAUAUAAUUAACUCAUACUUGAAGACGGAAAACAGCGUCAAGGAGUAGGACAGGAAAUGGUCAUGGAGGCAUCCCCCUCGCCCCAAUCUGUCGGCCGCGAGUUCGUCCGACAAUACUAUACUUUGCUGAACAAGGCCCCGUCCCACCUGCAUAGGUUCUAUAAUAACCACUCGUCGUUUGUUCAUGGAGGGCUGGACGCUCCUAACAGAGAAAUAAAUCCAGCUAUUGGUCAGAAACAAAUCCAUCAAAAAAUCCAACAAUUGAAUUUUCGCGAUUGUCAUGCAAAGAUCAGUCAAGUUGACUCACAGGCUACACUUGGGAAUGGUGUUGUUGUUCAGGUGACAGGAGAGCUGUCUAAUGCAGGACAGCCGAUGCGUCGCUUCACACAAACGUUUGUUUUGGCUGCGCAAGCACCAAAAAAGUACUACGUUCAUAAUGACAUCUUUCGUUACCAAGACCUUGGCUUCCCUGAUGAGGAAGAAGGAGAAGUUGAAGGUGGUGAUGGGGGUAUAGGUGAAGGCGUUGGUGAACGGGAACCUGAAGAAGGUGUGCGUUCGGAACCAGAAGAGGAUGAACAACCCAAUCAAGGGCAUCAGUUGCCACCGGCAACUGCACCUCCAGAGCCACAAGGUCCACCUUCCCUUAUUCCAAGUCAACAACCACAGCUUCAACAGCAACAGCAACACGUAUACUACGCCCCGCCACCUCAGCAACCCGUGCAUCCGGUCAUGCAACAAGUGGCAAUUAAUGGUUCUGUUCAUGAUGAAUCACCUCUAAUCAAUCAGCAGCAGCAUGCCCAUACGUACAUUUCUGAACCUGCAACUCAGGAACAAUUUGUUCAGGAACCAGAGCCCGAAGUGGUUCCUGAACAACAGCCGCAGGUGAAAGAAGAACCUCAAAUUCCAGUUGAGGAGUCUCAGGAGCCGUUAGAUGCUGAACCGGAACAGCAUUCGAUUUCAGAUUCUCAACCGGAAGUCCCAGUGCCAACCCCAGCCACCAACAAUAGCGGACCUAAAACCUAUGCAAAUUUAGUCAAAUCUUUUGCCACCGCAACUGGUUCGGCUAGCCCACAAGCGCCUAAGGCAUCCAUGUCACCACCACCCAUCACACAUCAACGUCUUGAUGAUCGCAUUUCGGUACCUGCUGUGAACGCUGGAUCUAUUCUCACCACCCCUUCGAACGUCAGUUCCAAUCAACAGCAGGUUCAUAGAGGUGUUGGAGGAAACCAACAACAACAAUCACAACAGCAACCACAACAACAGCAACCACAACAGCAACCACAACAACAGCAGCAACAACAACCACAACAACAGCAACAACAACAACAACAACAACAACAACAACGGCCUCCACGAGGAGGACCUGUGCAACGAGGUAUGGGCAGGGGACCAUCCCGCCCCCCCUUCUCUGAUGACAACGGCUGGGAUGGUGAACGUCGUGGGGGCCGGCAAGUCCAGUACGGCGAUUCUCAUCAAUUAUUUUUGGGUAAUCUUCCACUGGAUGCUUCAGAAGAUCAAUUGCGUCAAUUAUUCGAGCAAUACGGUCCAGUAGCUGAUCUACGUGUUCACAGCAAACAAAACGAAAGAGGAAAAACCCCCCAUGGCACAUCCAAUACUAGCAGAGUUCCCAACUACGGAUUUAUUACGUUUGAGGAUCACCAGUCCGUCGUAAACGUUCUGCAAAGUUUGCCAAUCCAUUUCCCUGAUGAAAAUCGUACGAAGUUGAAUGUGGAGGAAAAGAAAGUUAGGCCAAGGAUGUCAAUGGAAGGGGGAGGUGGGAGGCCGUCUACCGGAGAUGGUUCAGUACGCCCAAUGGGCGGCCAACAGCAACGUGGGCCAGGGGGUCCAGGUGGUGUGAUAAGAGGUAGUGGACAGCCACGCGUCGGUCGUGGAAGCUUUUCACGCGGAGGAGAUGGUGGCCGAGGGGGUGGUAUGAGACAACCAGGCAAUCACAACUAUCAGAAUCGUCGUUAAAUGUUCUGAACGCUGUAAGUUGCAUCCUGCCCAACUUCGGUGUUACACUCAACAUAAGUAUCCAGUGUGUUUUAGACUGUUGCUCGCAAAGAAGGGAUCCAGGCAGGGAUGCGGAUUGACAAACAACUCGUUAAACGGAUACUAUAAAGAAAUGGUAAAUGACGACAAGUUUCUGCAAUUUUAAGGCUGAGAGUGAAUUAAGAAAACAAAGUUCUCCAUUGUUUCUUUAAAUUAAUCGUCCAUACGGACCGAUUUUACUAUAAGAUUACCAGAAAUACCAUUAGUAUGCGUAUAACUGUAAUGAAAACGGCAUGAUACAGUGAAUGAUUAAUUAUAGAAAUUGAUAUCAAUAAUAAUUAUCAAACAUACAAUCUAGUGAAUAUCGCACUAAAUUGUGAAUAGUAAUUUCAUUGUAGAAUAUUACUAAUAUUUUCAAAGUACAUAUUUGUACGUACUGAAAGUUUAAGUAAAUCCUCAAUAAUUCAUGGUACUGCGCAAUAAGUACGCUUCUGUUACUUUAUUAUUUAGGUGUACACAUAAAGACAGCGUCCUCAACAGUAUAAGUGAGAAACAUAGAUGAUGAUCUAUUGUAUUUGCAUCAUAGGUCAACUGCACCAACACUCUGUCAAGAUUAUAAUCAUUGAAUGUGAAUACUACUCGAAAGCUAAAAUUGAAUAAACGUAUUUCGUUUUUAAUCAAAGAUCGCGGCCUAACCGACAUUGACAAGCCUUCGGCUAUUGAGCAUCAUAAUGCAAACAAUAACGGUAGUUUUCUGUAGCAGAGGCUGAAAAAAUGAGCAUCGAAUUAUCUGUCUAAAACUGAACUCGUCUGUUUAAUUAACAGAAUUCUUCCAAUUUGUUACCCUGAAUUCGAUCUUUACUGAGAAUAAGGUUCACUUUUACAUGUGCAUUUACUUUUUCAUGUAUACAAUAUUUGAUUCGGUGAGAUUCAUUUGACACAUUCAUUUUCUGGAAUUGUUUUAUCUAAAAAACAAAAUAUGUAGUUGUCAGUCGAUGAAUUAUUUUUGUUUUUUGGAUAUAGUUAAUUUUUACUUCAGCCAAAUAAAUAUUUAUUUGAUUUCAUUAGUUUGUUUAGCUAAAGAGCAAAAUUUAGUCGAUUUGACACGCAAAGGUGAUAAUUAAUUAAUAGAUGUUGACACAAUAUUUCGUAAUUUAAUCGACACAAUCAAUCUGUUGGAUUAAUAAAAAAUUACUUAAAACUAAAAAAUUAAUAAAAAAAACAGUAUUUGAUUCAAUUCACGUGCAAUUGGAUCAAGUAAAUACAUACAAUUUAAUUCACUUCUCAGUGUACAUGUUGUGCUUCAAUGGUGGACUGAUAACCCAGUUUCGUGUAACCCGCCUGUCAAUAACUAUAAUAUACAUGCUCGGAACUUGAAACAUUUUCGUAAUUCAUUUUUUAGUAUUUCUAUCGUAAAAGAAAUCUAUAAUAAUUACAUAGUACAGUUCAAAUUCCGACAAUUUCUAUUUAGAACUGGUUACGCGAAACUGUUAUACCUCGGCACAAUAAGUACGUUUACAAAUUUAUUAUUCUUAUUAUUAUUAUUAUGAUAUUUUUAUUUUUCUUAUAUAUAUUUUUUUUUUUUUUGUGUCAUCAAAGUAUAUAGUAAAAUUGAUAUUAACUGUAGUAGUUACUCGAUAAUUGUAAACCGAUUUGUACAUUACGCUAAACAAGCUUACGUGAAAAUUAUUCGCGUUAUUAUAACGGAUACGUGAAAUGUUUUUUAUAUAGGGGAUGAAAGAAACUAGAUUAUUUUGCUGUAUAGAAAAAGUGAUACGAGGGUGUAAUUUGUAUUUUCAUUCACGGACAAUCGGGGUGUCGACAUUUUAAUCAAUCGUUAAACACCGUAGUGCGGGUGAGCUUGUUUACCACAAAUAACAAACCAGGUGUUUCGUUAAAGAAAGUGUCUGGAUUUGCUACCCUGGUGAGCGGUCUUAUCAAUGAUCUUAAAUUGAACCACUGUUACAUAAAAGCACCUGUGCGUAUCACCUAUUUGCAAAUUUUUAGUAUGAAUGUUUUUUUUCACAAUAGGUAAUUAUUAAAAAUAAACAAAAACAAAUUAACAAAUAUGAUAGUUAUAAAUAUUAAUAGAGGAUGGUGUAAUUAAGUUGUGAAUUUUUUGAAGCAUACAUUUUUAUUUUUGGCAUCUUUGGGUCAGUUUGUGUGUACAACCGUGGAAAUGUUACUGCGAUAACAAAAGAAAACUUGAGAUGAUGAAAAAAAAAGACGUGUUUAAACAAACAUGACACGUAUUAUAACUUUUUGCAUUUAGUAUAAUAUACCUUGCUACCAACUAAUAAUACUUCAUUUGUAUAUUGUUACUUAAGUAAGGAAAAUUGAUGAAUAAGGCAGACGAAUUGGAACACAAUCGCUGAAUUUUAUGGUGAUAUAUUGGAAAAUUGUUCAAAAAAUUGAAUACAUGCCGCCAACGACUGUUUGAUGUCUACCUUAAUAAUCUACCCUACAUACUACGUAUGCGUAUAGGUAUGUAAAUAAUUUUUUUUAUUCCUGAAUACAAUAUGUACGCGAAAUCACUGCCGUGAUGACAAUAUUCAGAUUUAUGGUACUCUUUCUGACGUUUUCUUAGUCUGGGCCUUACGAAAAUUAUUCUACAUGAUUAUCAUUUCUGAGUCUGCAUAGAAUUGUACAAUAAUAGUUGUGUGGUAAUCGUUUUCCAUGGGCACAAUAUCCACUUGUAACUAGUGAAUAAUAAUAGGUGAAAAAUUGAGAAAUCCUGCGCAGUUUUUUUCCGUAUAGGAUGUUAAUAUUAAACAGUAUCACAUAGGUAUUGAAAAAAUGAUUAUAAAUUUUUUAGUGUUGCAAAGCCUCCUAGACUCACUGUGAUAUCAUCUAAUUACAUGAUGGAAUAAAUAUUAAUUGAAUGAA
rnacentral:misc_RNA from 1 species